UACAGAGGUCUCAAGCGUUGUUCGGAUUCAUUGGGCGUAAAGGGUGCGUAGGCGGCGCCGUAAGUCGGGUGUGAAAUCUCGGGGCUUAACUCCGAAACUGCAUUCGAUACUGCCGUGCUUGAGGACUGGAGAGGAGACUGGAAUUUACGGUGUAGCGGUGAAAUGCGCAGAUAUCAGGAGGAACACCAGCGGCGAAGGCGGCGCUCUGGGCCGGUACUGACACUGAGGAGCGAAAGCGUGGGUAGCAAACAGG
rnacentral:rRNA from 1 species